rnacentral:rRNA from 1 species
CCUACGGGUGGCAGCAGUGGGGAAUAUUGGACAAUGGUCGAAAGCCUGAUCCAGCCAUGCCGCGUGUGUGAAGAAGGCCUUCGGGUUGUAAAGCACUUUCAGUGGGGAAGAAAGCCUUGGGGCUAAUACCCUCGAGGAAGGACAUCACCCACAGAAGAAGCACCGGCUAACUCCGUGCCAGCAGCCGCGGUAAUACGGAGGUGCGAGCGUUAAUCGGAAUUACUGGGCGUAAAGCGCGCGUAGGCGGUCUGAUAAGCCGGUUGUGAAAGCCCCGGGCUCAACCUGGGAACGGCAUCCGGAACUGUCAGGCUAGAGUGCAGGAGAGGAAGGUAGAAUUCCCGGUGUAGCGGUGAAAUGCGUAGAGAUCGGGAGGAAUACCAGUGGCGAAGGCGGCCUUCUGGACUGACACUGACGCUGAGGUGCGAAAGCGUGGGUAGCAAACAGGAUUAGAUACCCCUGUAGUC